rnacentral:rRNA from 1 species
GAUGAACGCUGGCGGCGUGCCUAAUACAUGCAAGUCGAGCGAACGGACGAGAAGCUUGCUUCUCUGAUGUUAGCGGCGGACGGGUGAGUAACACGUGGAUAACCUACCUAUAAGACUGGGAUAACUUCGGGAAACCGGAGCUAAUACCGGAUGAUAUUUUGAACCGCAUGGUUCAAAAGUGAAAGACGGUCUUGCUGUCACUUAUAGAUGGAUCCGCGCUGCAUUAGCUAGUUGGUAAGGUAACGGCUUACCAAGGCAACGAUGCAUAGCCGACCUGAGAGGGUGAUCGGCCACACUGGAACUGAGACACGGUCCAGACUCCUACGGGAGGCAGCAGUAGGGAAUCUUCCGCAAAGGGCGAAAGCCUGACGGAGCAACGCCGCGUGAGUGAUGAAGGUCUUCGGAUCGUAAAACUCUAUUAUUAGGGAAGAACAUAUGUGUAAGUAACUGUGCACAUCUUGACGGUACCUAAUCAGAAAGCCACGGCUAACUACGUG